rnacentral:rRNA from 1 species
GUGCCAGCAGCCGCGGUAAUACGUAGGUGGCAAGCGUUGUCCGGAUUUAUUGGGUUUAAAGGGUGCGUAGGCGGUUGAUUAAGUCAGUUGUGAAAUACGGCAGCUUAACUGUCGAGGUGCAAUUGAUACUGGUUGACUUGAGUACAGACGAGGUAGGCGGAAUUGACGGUGUAGCGGUGAAAUGCAUAGAUAUCGUCAAGAACACCGAUAGCGAAGGCAGCUUACUAGACUGUAACUGACGCUGAGGCACGAAAGUGUGGGGAUCAAACAGGAUUAGAAACCCGGGUAGUCC